AGCCCGUUAGCUCAGGGGGAGAGCGCUGGUCUUACAAACCAGCUGUCGUCGGUUCAAAUCCGACACGGGCUA
rnacentral:tRNA from 1 species